AACACUGUAAGCUUCACUUGGUACAGCCUAAUUCAACUCGAUGGAACUCGUCUUUCAUGGCCGUGGAACGUGUGGUCAGAAUCAUUAAAGACCAAGGACAGGGGUCUGUGAGAAAGGUCUGUGCUGCACUCAAUGUUCCAAUGUACAGUCCGGCUGACAUAGCCUUUUUAGGGGAAUAUGUCACCACCAUGAGUCCAGUUGCGAAGUCCUUGAACAUACUACAAGGUGAAGUCAACAUUCAGAUGGGCUGGCUGCUCCCGACAAUCACCACCCUCACAACCAAGCUUGAAAAGUCCAGACCGUCACUCAGAUUUUGCAAGCCACUUGUUGAUGCUCUUCUUGAAGGUUUGAGGAAGCGGUUUGAGAGCAUGAUGUCAGAGCCAGAGCUAAUUGCAGCAGCCAUACUUGUUCCAAGGUUCAAAACCUCCUGGACCAGCAAUGACACAGUCCUACAGCUUGGCCUUAGUUACAUCAAGACACAUCUGCCAGAACAUGAUGAAGGUCUUCGGUCUCCUGAUACCACAGCAUCCUCUUCUGAAGAUGAUGACUUCUUCUCCAAUGUCAAGCCGACACAUUCCAAUGCGAUAAGUCAGCAACUUGAUGGAUACCUAGCCGCUACAGCUGAUGGAGUGAAUACACUGGCCCUCUAUCCAGCUGUGCGUAACCUCUCACUAAAGCUCAACACAGCCCUGCCAGCUUCAGCAGCGUGUGAAAGGCUUUUUAGCAUUGCCUGUUUGCUUUUCACCCCAAGAAGGGUGAACUUCUCCUCAAGUUGAACAAGGAGUUCAUGAAAUUUGAUUGAACUGAAGUACCACACACACACACACACACACACACACACACACACACACACACACACACACACACACACACACACACACACACACACACACACACACACACACACACACACACACACACACACAAAUAAUAAUACAAAUAAUUUGGUGGUGUGGAUGUUAGCCUUUCCACUUUUAAAGCAUACUAUGUCAUUGUGAAUUAUACUAGUGUUGUAAAUUAUUUGAUUUGAAUGACGGCAGUUUGCCUAAUUUUCAGCCUAAUUAGUUUUCAUACCAAUCAUUUAUAUAUUACUUUUCAUAUAUCAGUGUACAGUGUUAUAAAACUAUGCCCAUGCUGUUCUCAUAACUGAAAUCAUUUACUUAAUUACAUUGUUUUGGAAUUGUUUCUUGGAUAAGUAACAUAGUUAUUUUUCAGUGAGCAGUACUUGAGAGGUAUGUUGAAUGCAGUACUGUGCUGUAUAUUUUUGAUAUGUUGACACUGUAGCAUGAGUAGUCAUUGAGUCAUGAGUUGCUGUGUUUGAAAUGAGUGUCAUUCCCAUGUGGUGAGCCAAUUAUUGUGUCCGAUGAGAUAUAGUGCGAGUAGACACCACGCAUUAUCCUUUGUCACAACAUGUGAAGCCUUGUGUUACGCACUUGUUAGGCAAGUGAGAUGCUCAAUAAAGCGUAAAAAGAUAAA